rnacentral:rRNA from 1 species
GACGAACGCUGGCGGCGUGCUUAACACAUGCAAGUCGAACGGUAAGGCCCUUCGGGGUACACGAGUGGCGAACGGGUGAGUAACACGUGGGUGAUCUGCCCUGCACUUCGGGAUAAGCCUGGGAAACUGGGUCUAAUACCGGAUAGGACCACUGCCUGCAUGGGUGGUGGUGGAAAGCUUUUGCGGUGUGGGAUGGGCCCGCGGCCUAUCAGCUUGGUGGGGGGGUGAUGGCCUACCAAGGCGACGACGGGUAGCCGGCCUGAGAGGGUGACCGGCCACCCUGGGACUAGGAUACGGCCCAGACUCCUACGGGAGGCAGCAGUGGGGAAUAUUGCACAAUGGGCGCAAGCCUGAUGCAGCGACGCCGCGUGAGGGAUGACGGCCUUCGGGUUGUAAACCUCUUUCAGCACCGACGAAGCGCAAGUGACGGUAGGUGCAGAAGAAGGACCGGCCAACUACGUGCCAGCCGCCGCCGUAA